rnacentral:ncRNA from 1 species
CCAAUAUAAAUGAACGGGACAGUAGUUCAGGACGAACAGUCGCAGCGAGCCGGGAAUGGUGGAAGCCGGUACGUUGGUCUUGGAUGAAGCGGACCCGGGAUAUGAUUUGCCGAACCGAACUCGUCAAGCUGGCUUCAAGCCUUCGGAACGACGCGCAGUAGGCAGAUCCGGUCAAGGACCGUUACACGAAUAAGCGGUGAAUCGCCAUUUUGGCGAUUUGCACAUAGAGUGGUACCGCGGGAAGCAAUAGGCUCUCGUCUCUUUC